GAUGAAGAACGUAGCGAAAUGCGAUAAGUAGUGUGAAUUGCAGAAUUCAGUGAAUCAUCGAAUCUUUGAACGCACAUUGCGCCCCUUGGUAUUCCAUGGGGCAUGCCUGUUCGAGCGUCAUUUGUACCUUCAAGCUCUGCUUGGUGUUGGGUGUUUGUCUCGCCUCUGCGUGUAGACUCGCCUCAAAACAAUUGGCAGCCGGCGUAUUGAUUUCGGAGCGCAGUACAUCUCGCGCUUUGCACUCAUAACGACGACGUCCAAAAGUACAUUUUUACACUCUUGACCUCGGAUCAGGUAGGGAUACCCGCUGAACUUAAGCAUAUCAAAAGCGGAGA
rnacentral:misc_RNA from 1 species